rnacentral:rRNA from 1 species
UGCGCCUACGGGACGCAGCAGUCGGGAAUAUUGCACAAUGGAGGAAACUCUGAUGCAGUGACGCCGCGUGCAGGAAGAAGGUUUUCGGAUUGUAAACUGCUUUAGACAGGGAAGAAACAAGACAGUACCUGUAGAAUAAGCUCCGGCUAACUACGUGCCAGCAGCCGCGGUAAUACGUAGGGAGCAAGCGUUAUCCGGAUUUAUUGGGUGUAAAGGGUGCGUAGACGGGCAAACAAGUUAGUUGUGAAAUCCCUCGGCUUAACUGAGGAACUGCAACUAAAACUAUUAGUCUUGAGUGCGGGAGG